rnacentral:rRNA from 1 species
GACGAACGCUGGCGGCGUGCUUAACACAUGCAAGUCGAACGGACAGGCCCUGCUUUUGUGGGGUGCUCGAGUGGCGAACGGGUGAGUAACACGUGAGUAACCUGCCCUUGACUUUGGGAUAACUUCAGGAAACUGGGGCUAAUACCGGAUAGGAGCUCCUGCUGCACGGUGGGGGUUGGAAAGUUUCGGCGGUUGGGGAUGGACUCGCGGGUUAUCAGCUUGUUGGUGGGGUAGUGGCUUACCAAGGCUUUGACGGGUAGCCGGCCUGGGAGGGUGACCGGCCACAUUGGGACUGAGAUACGGCGCAGACUCCUACGGGAGGCAGCAGUGGGGAAUAUUGCACAAUGGGCGGAAGCCUGAUGCAGCAACGCCGCGUGCGGGAUGACGGCCUUCGGGUUGUAAACCGCUUUCGCCUGUGACGAAGCGUGAGUGACGGUAAUGGGUAAAGAAGCACCGGCUAACUACGUG